AAUGGGCGAAAGCCUGACGCAGCAACGCCGCGUGGGUGAUGAAGGUCUUCGGAUCGUAAAACCCUGUCGUCGGGGACGAAGGUAGCUUAGUUAACAGCUGAGUUGCUUGACGGUACCCGGAGAGGAAGCCCCGGCUAACUCUGUGCCAGCAGCCGCGGUAAUACAGAGGGGGCAAGCGUUAUUCGGAAUUAUUGGGCGUAAAGGGCGCGUAGGCGGUUUUUUAAGUCAGAUGUGUAAUCCCCGAGCUCAACUUGGGAACUGCAUCUGAGACUGGAAGGCUAGAGUACUGGAGAGGGUGGUAGAAUUCCACGUGUAGCGGUGAAAUGCGUAGAGAUGUGGAGGAAUACCAGUGGCGAAGGCGGCCACCUGGACAGUAACUGACGCUGAGGCGCGAAAGUGUGGGUAGCAAA
rnacentral:rRNA from 1 species